AAGUCGUAACAAGGUAUCCGUAGGUGAACCUGCGGAUGGAUCAUUACCAAUUUUUAUAUAUUAGUGUUGUAUCUGUGACUACUCUGUUGCAGGUAUCAACUACUACUAUUAUGUAAACGUUGAACUAGAUCAAUUGGUGUGGAUUGCUUGGGAAUGGACGAAGCGACAAGCCUCUUCCGGACAGGCAAACCCCACACUGAUAACCCUUUUCAAUAUAUACUAUACUUACUAGUACAUACUACAAACAAACAAACAAACAAAAAGCUAUAAUAGGACUUAUAAACAGGCUGAGUGGGUAAAAUCCUCGGCUUAUCAAUAUAACUAUUACAACUUUCAGCAAUGGAUCUCUAGGCUCUC
rnacentral:misc_RNA from 1 species